GUAAUGCAUGUUCAAUCCUUUCUUCCAGGUUCUGAGGAGAUAUAAGAGAGAUACAGACAAGAGCAAGAAAAACAUUUGUUCCCUCUACCAUUUAUUAUAGCAAUGCCUAUUCUUACAAAGAACUCAAGAGCCUGACUAUAGAAGGUUAAGGAAGCAAAGACUUGUUAGUGUUCAAGUCUUUAUAUAA